rnacentral:rRNA from 1 species
GAUGAACGCUGGCGGCGUGCCUAAUACAUGCAAGUCGAGCGAACAGACGAGGAGCUUGCUCCUCUGACGUUAGCGGCGGACGGGUGAGUAACACGUGGAUAACCUACCUAUAAGACUGGGAUAACUUCGGGAAACCGGAGCUAAUACCGGAUAAUAUAUUGAACCGCAUGGUUCAAUAGUGAAAGACGGUUUUGCUGUCACUUAUAGAUGGAUCCGCGCCGCAUUAGCUAGUUGGUAAGGUAACGGCUUACCAAGGCAACGAUGCGUAGCCGACCUGAGAGGGUGAUCGGCCACACUGGAACUGAGACACGGUCCAGACUCCUACGGGAGGCAGCAGUAGGGAAUCUUCCGCAAUGGGCGAAAGCCUGACGGAGCAACGCCGCGUGAGUGAUGAAGGUCUUCGGAUCGUAAAACUCUGUUAUUAGGGAAGAACAAAUGUGUAUGUAACUAUGCACGUCUUGACAGUACCUAAUCAGAAAGCCACGGCUAACUACGUG